rnacentral:tRNA from 1 species
GGUCUAUGGGGCUGCUGGGUGUGGCCACCUCCCUGUCACGGAGGAAUAACAGAUCGGUUCGAAUCCGAUAUAGACCGC